rnacentral:misc_RNA from 1 species
CCCUAGCCCUGAUUGCAGCGGCUACCCCGCAACACGCGUGGGGAAAAGCGCAGGCGUGAGGAGUAAUAGCGGAAAGCAGGUUCCCGG